rnacentral:lncRNA from 1 species
AUUAUCCUUUGGGGGUCGGGAAAAAGUUUGAUUUGCUUACUUUCGUAAGAAGAAUUGAAGCAAGUUAAGCAAGAAAUUGAUCGAUUUGGGAGGUUGCAUCUAAGGCACAAUUUGAGCAUCGACGGAUGUCACCAAUAUGAGAAGUGGACAAAGCUAAGAAGGCAAAGGCAGACGAAGGAGCCUCCAGUAGCUCGUUUUUCUAUUUCCCCUGCACGGGAACUUAUCCUUUUUCAUGUUAUUUCCCUUUUCCCCCAAAGAUUGUAUCCCUCUUUUGUUAUCGUUUGUACGCAUUUAUGCCCGUUUCGUGUCUAUAUAAGUUGGGGGAUAAUGGAUUGACUUUAGGGAAGCAUAUACUUUCUUCAAAAAUCGUUAGCCCUGAACCCUUGGCUCAAAAAGAGUCACCCCAGUUAGGAUACGCAUUAUUAUAAUAUUUUGUGUGCUUGUGGUGUUUGUUUGGAUCAAAGGCAAGUUUAUCC